CAGGGAUACAACAGAGUGGAGGAAGCUGGAAUACAGAAUGCACUUAGAAGGAGGCUGGAUUGGAGGUGGAAAACUGAGUUGCCAGUUCAGAGUUUGAGCUGGUAGCUGGGCAGAAAGCAGGCUAGUUAAUUGAAGGACUUUGUACAGAUUCUUUACAGGCUAAUAUGAUUUCCCAAAUGAUUGGAUGCAUCAUAUAUAAAGGAAAGCAACUGAGAAGAGAAAGACUGUGUAGAACAGGUUUAGGGGGAAGAAUUAUGGACUAAGUUUUAGGUACAUGAAGUUUGGAAUUUUAUCUCUUGAGUGUAUUAAAAAUAACCAAGAUUCAAGAUGAGGGUAGCCUUGAAACAAGAGAGAGGAGCUCAAAUCAUUGGAAGAGAGGAGUGUAACUUUGACAUAGGUAUGACUGCAGCAGUGAGGGCAGCAAAGAAAAGUACUAGGUAAUUUCUAACCCUAUCCAUAUGUGAUGAGUCACUAAUCAGAGUUGUGUGCCUAAGCUUCUAAUGCAGGUCUUGGUGAGAAAUGAUGACUCUAGAUUGAUGAAGAGGAAGAACAAAAUCCAGUCCUUAUUGGUGGAAUAACAGAAGCAAAUAUAAGAAUGUCUCCUUUGCUACUGGCUAUACUUCAGUGGUUACAGCUUAGGCCAAUGAGAUAUUUGGCAGAGGCUUGCAAGUUGGGAAGAGAUUUCUUUCUGAAAUAAAACAACAAAGCUUUCUGAGAGACAUUUUCCUCUAUUCUGAACUGUGGAUAUUAGCCCUGGGGAGCAGUAGCCACCUUGCAACCAUGAGGGAAAAAGUCUAGGGAAGAAAGACAACACAGGAAAGGUGGCAGAGCUGGGACACUGCUGGAGGGUUGUUACCCAAGGCAGCACUUAAUAUAUCCACCAGUUGAACAAUGAGAACACUUGGACACAGGGUGGGGAACGUCACACACUCGGGCCUGUCGUGGGGUGGGGGGACGGGGGAGGGAUAGCAUUAGGAGACAUACCUAAUGUAAACGACAAGUUAAUGGGUGCAGCACACCAACAUGGCACAUGUAUACAUAUGUAACAAACCUGCAUGUUGUGCACAUGUACCCUAGAACUUAAAGUAUAAUAAAAAGAAAGAAAAAGAAAGAAAGAAAGAAAGAAAAGAAAAGAAAAGGAAAGGAAAGAAAAGAAAAGAAAAGAAAAGAAAAAAGAAAAAGAAAUAUCUCCACCAACAGGGAUAGGGCUAUGUGCUGUGGAUUUUUAAGCUUAUAUAUAUUUUUUUCUUUUGGAGACAAGGUCUCUCUCUAGCACCCAGGUAGGAGUGUAGUGGUAUGAUCAUAGUUUUUUGUAACCUCCAACUCCUGGGCUCAUAACAUUAUAAAACUUAAAUGGAAUGCUUAUAUAAGAAAAUAAUUCAAAAUCAUAAAUACAAAAUGAAUGAGGGAUCAAUCUUUUGACAGAAUAGUCCAGAGUUACUUACACUCUGGAUUAAACUAUUUGUUUUGGUAAACUAUUUGUUUACUAGAUACAUAAUAUAUGAAUUAU
rnacentral:lncRNA from 1 species